AUUGAACGCUGGCGGCAUGCCUUACACAUGCAAGUCGAACGGCAGCACGGGAGCAAUCCUGGUGGCGAGUGGCGAACGGGUGAGUAAUGUAUCGGAACGUACCUUUCAGUGGGGGAUAACGUAGCGAAAGUUACGCUAAUACCGCAUAUUCUGUGAGCAGGAAAGCAGGGGAUCGCAAGACCUUGCGCUGAUUGAGCGGCCGAUAUCAGAUUAGCUAGUUGGUGAGGUAAAGGCUCACCAAGGCGACGAUCUGUAGCGGGUCUGAGAGGAUGAUCCGCCACACUGGAACUGAGACACGGUCCAGACUCCUACGGGAGGCAGCAGUGGGGAAUUCUGGACAAUGGGCGCAAGCCUGAUCCAGCCAUGCCGCGUGAGUGAAGAAGGCC
rnacentral:rRNA from 1 species